rnacentral:rRNA from 1 species
UACGAAGGGGGCUAGCGUUGCUCGGAAUCACUGGGCGUAAAGCGCACGUAGGCGGCUUGUUAAGUCAGGGGUGAAAUCCUGGAGCUCAACUCCAGAACUGCCUUUGAUACUGGCGAGCUUGAGUCCGGGAGAGGUGAGUGGAACUGCGAGUGUAGAGGUGAAAUUCGUAGAUAUUCGCAAGAACACCAGUGGCGAAGGCGGCUCACUGGCCCGGUACUGGCGCUGAGGUGCGAAAGCGUGGGGAGCAAACAGG